AUCAUCCCCUUGGGUCCCUUACAGUCUCAAUAUCCUGAUGAUAUUCAACCUAAUUCAGUGCAUGUGCUGCUUUUCUGGUGUCCUGUGCCAGACACCUCUGCCAUCUGUCCUUCUUCUGGGCAGAUUUUCUUGCCAUCAGAUGCUCUUGGUCAUCUUCCAUGGACGUCACAUAUCGUCUCAGGCCAAAAUGACCGGUAAACUUCCUUGGACUCUGUCACCACCAAGCCUUCUUUUGUUCUUUCCCUCGCGUGAGGGGAUGCGUCCUGCCCCAGCUGUGUGAAAUAAAGGGUUGAAAGCCACGAGGGCGCCA
rnacentral:lncRNA from 1 species